rnacentral:rRNA from 1 species
GGGGCUAGCGUUGCUCGGAAUCACUGGGCGUAAAGCGCCCGUAGGCGGAUUGCUAAGUCAGGGGUGAAAUCCUGGAGCUCAACUCCAGAACUGCCUUUGAUACUGGCGAUCUUGAGUCCGGGAGAGGUGAGUGGAACUCCGAGUGUAGAGGUGAAAUUCGUAGAUAUUCGGAAGAACACCAGUGGCGAAGGCGGCUCACUGGCCCGGUACUGACGCUGAGGUGCGAAAGCGUGGGGAGCAAACAGG